rnacentral:rRNA from 1 species
UACGUAGGGCGCAAGCGUUGUCCGGAAUUAUUGGGCGUAAAGAGCUCGUAGGCGGCUUGUCACGUCGGAUGUGAAAGCCCGAGGCUUAACCUCGGGUCUGCAUUCGAUACGGGCUAGCUAGAGUGUGGUAGGGGAGAUCGGAAUUCCUGGUGUAGCGGUGAAAUGCGCAGAUAUCAGGAGGAACACCGGUGGCGAAGGCGGAUCUCUGGGCCAUUACUGACGCUGAGGCACGAAAGCGUGGGUAGCAAACAGG